UACGUAGGGGGCAAGCGUUGUCCGGAUUUAUUGGGCGUAAAGAGCGUGUAGGCGGCCAUACAGGUCAGCUGUGAAAACUCGAGGCUCAACCUCGAGACGUCGGUUGAAACCGUAUGGCUAGAGUCCGGAAGAGGAGAGUGGAAUUCCCGGUGUAGCGGUGAAAUGCGCAGAUAUCGGGAGGAACACCUGUGGCGAAAGCGGCUCACUGGACCGCAACUGACGCUGAGGCGCGAAAGCUAGGGGAGCAAACAGG
rnacentral:rRNA from 1 species